rnacentral:rRNA from 1 species
UACGGAGGGUGCAAGCGUUAUCCGGAUUCACUGGGUUUAAAGGGUGCGUAGGUGGGUUGGUAAGUCAGUGGUGAAAUCUCCGAGCUUAACUUGGAAACUGCCAUUGAUACUGCGGUGCUUGAGGACUGGAGAGGAGACUGGAAUUCAUGGUGUAGCAGUGAAAUGCGUAGAGAUCAUGAGGAAGACCAGUGGCGAAGGCGGGUCUCUGGACAGUUCCUGACACUGAGGCACGAAGGCCAGGGGAGCAAACGGG